CAUCCUCAUUCUCAUUCUCGUCCUCAUCCUAUCCUCUUCCUCUUCCUCAUAGGACAGGAUGAGGAUGACGAUGUGGAUGAGGAUGAGGAUAGGAUGAGGAUGAGGAUGAGGAUAUGGAUG
rnacentral:pre_miRNA from 1 species